rnacentral:lncRNA from 1 species
AAGGACCGAAGGGUGGGAGUUUCGCCCCCAUGGGCCGCAGGUCCUGAGGAUUAUACCACACCGUCUUGAUUGCCAUUUUAUUCGUGAGAUCCGAUCAGCCCAGGUGAUCUAUGUAAGAAUUGGACUAAAUGUGGAAAUCCACUUCUGGAAAAUGUCUGACAGCCACUCUUUACCACUGUUGCCUGCAACAGAGCUGGUCACGCAUCGCAAGGGAUUAGGACCAAAAUUGAGGCAUCCAGCACCCCGUGUUUCCCACCUGGGUGGAAAAGCGGAGGGAAGCGCCAGGGCGGAACUGGCUGCUGUGUCUCAAGGACUCUAGGAGAAGCCUCGGUCCCCGGGGCGGCAAAGGGGACCCGAGUGAGGCUUGAGGACUUAGAAAUGACAAUGGCGCCAGGGAGCGUCCCAGAUACCGGCUUCCAAGCGGCUAAAGCGGCUGAGGCGCGAAGAAGAAGCAGCUGCCUCGCUUCAGAGAGACGGGCACUUGCUGUCCCCUGCCGAGCCUGGAACAGGCUGCUCGCCGGGACCACGGCCUCCUACUGCCUCCUCUCACCACCUUCAAGAGACACCAUCUCCUAAAGACUCAAAGGUGAAAAGCAAAACCUGAACGCGGCCAUGAGCCGCAUCCAGGAAAAGAAACACCUACGACGGCUCUGCGCCUCCCCCCGCCCCAUUGCAUGCCUCCCUCCUGACACCCCUUCAAAGGCACACGGGGACACAGGUCCCCGCAGCCUCGUGGCCACUGCUUCUCAUCACGCUGGCUGCACAUCCCAGCCGCAGGAGCACCAAGUCAGACGGGGAAACAACCGCACGGCCCGGCCCUGCUGCUCAGGACAGGCUCAGCGCUGACAAGACUGGUGGUGGAGAGAAAUUGCCAAGAUGCUAAGAAACUUGAGAGGCCACCUCUGCAGCAGGACUGGGACGGGUGAGGGGAAAAGAACUUACUUUCAUUUUAUACUUUUUCCAUG